rnacentral:rRNA from 1 species
GACGAACGCUGGCGGCGUGCCUAACACAUGCAAGUCGAACGGAACUGUUUUGAAAGAUUUCUUCGGAAUGAAUUUGAUUUAGUUUAGUGGCGGACGGGUGAGUAACGCGUGAGUAACCUGCCUUCAAGAGGGGGAUAACAUUCUGAAAAGAAUGCUAAUACCGCAUGACAUAUCGGAACCACAUGGUUUUGAUAUCAAAGAUUUUAUCGCUUGAAGAUGGACUCGCGUCCGAUUAGUUAGUUGGUGAGGUAACGGCUCACCAAGACCGCGAUCGGUAGCCGGACUGAGAGGUUGAACGGCCACAUUGGGACUGAGACACGGCCCAGACUCCUACGGGAGGCAGCAGUGGGGGAUAUUGCGCAAUGGGGGCAACCCUGACGCAGCAACGCCGCGUGAAGGAUGAAGGUUUUCGGAUUGUAAACUUCUUUUAUUAAGGACGAAAAAUGACGGUACUUAAUGAAUAAGCUCCGGCUAACUACGUGCCAGCAGCCGCGGUAAUACGUAGGGAGCAAGCGUUGUCCGGAUUUACUGGGUGUAAAGGGUGCGUAGGCGGCUUUGCAAGUCAGAUGUGAAAUCUAUGGGCUCAACCCAUAAACUGCAUUUGAAACUGUAGAGCUUGAGUGAAGUAGAGGCAGGCGGAAUUCCCCGUGUAGCGGUGAAAUGCGUAGAGAUGGGGAGGAACACCAGUGGCGAAGGCGGCCUGCUGGGCUUUAACUGACGCUGAGGCACGAAAGCGUGGGUAGCAAACAGGAUUAGAUACCCUGGUAGUCCACGCUGUAAAC